UACGAAGGGGGCUAGCGUUGCUCGGAAUCACUGGGCGUAAAGCGCACGUAGGCGGGUCCUUAAGUCGGGGGUGAAAUCCUGGAGCUCAACUCCAGAACUGCCUUCGAUACUGAGGAUCUCGAGUCCGGGAGAGGUGAGUGGAACUCCGAGUGUAGAGGUGAAAUUCGUAGAUAUUCGGAAGAACACCAGUGGCGAAGGCGGCUCACUGGCCCGGUACUGACGCUGAGGCGCGAAAGCGUGGGGAGCAAACAGG
rnacentral:rRNA from 1 species